AUGGCAGUUUCGAUGAUGGAUCUCCGGAGACUUUGUUGUUCUGUGCGAAACGGAGGGCUCUCGUCGAUGUUUGCACCGGCUGAGUUGUGUGUGCAGUUCUCACUGCCAGACUCCAGAUUCAUCGGAUCUUGUGGUGGCAUCGACAAAGGCCGAUUGAAGGUGGGAUGGCUGCAUCAGUGGAGGGAUCUGAUCAGCUUGUGA